rnacentral:rRNA from 1 species
AUUGAACGCUGGCGGCAUGCUUUACACAUGCAAGUCGAACGGUAACAGGCCGCAAGGUGCUGACGAGUGGCGAACGGGUGAGUAAUGCAUCGGAACGUGCCCAAUCGUGGGGGAUAACGCAGCGAAAGCUGCGCUAAUACCGCAUACGAUCUAAGGAUGAAAGCGGGGGACCGUAAGGCCUCGCGCGAUUGGAGCGGCCGAUGUCAGAUUAGGUAGUUGGUGGGGUAAAGGCUCACCAAGCCAACGAUCUGUAGCUGGUCUGAGAGGACGACCAGCCACACUGGAACUGAGACACGGUCCAGACUCCUACGGGAGGCAGCAGUGGGGAAUUUUGGACAAUGGGGGCAACCCUGAUCCAGCAAUGCCGCGUGAGUGAAGAAGGCCUUCGGGUUGUAAAGCUCUUUUGUCAGGGAAGAAACAGCAGCUCUAACACAGUCUGCGAAUGACGGUACCUGAAGAAUAAGCACCGGCUAACUACGUG